GAUGAACGCUGGCGGCGUGCUUAACACAUGCAAGUCGAACGGAAAGGCCAGUGCUUGCCCUGGUUCUCGAGUGGCGAACGGGUGAGUAACACGUGGGUGAUCUGCCCUGCACUUCGGGAUAAGCCUUGGAAACUGGGUCUAAUACCGGAUAGGACCACUUCGUUGUCGUUGUGGUGGAAAGUGUUUUCGGUGUGGGAUGAGCUCGCGGCCGAUCAGCUUGUUGGUGGGGUAUUGGCCUACUAAGGCGUCGACGGGUAGCCGGCCUGAGAGGGUGUGCGGCCACAUUGGGACUGAGGUACGGCCCGGGCUCCUACGGGAGGCAGCAGUAGGGAAUAUUGCACAAUGGGCGGAAGCCUGAUGCAGCGACGCCGCGUGGGGGAUGACGGCCUUCGGGGUGUAAACUCCUUUCGCCAUAGACGAAUUUUGACGGUAUUUGGAGAAGAAGCACCGGCUAACUACGUG
rnacentral:rRNA from 1 species